AAACAGCUAUGACCUGAUUACGAAUUCGAGCUCGGUACCCGGGGAUCCUCUAGAGAUUAUUCUGGUUGAUCCUGGCGGAGGCGUCCGCUUUUGGAGUUCGAUUAAGCCAUGCGAGUCGUGAGCCUUCGGGGCUCGGCAUACUGCUCUGUAACACGUGGAUAACCUGCCCUAUCGUCUGGAAUAACCUCGGGAAACUGAGAACAAGGCCGGAUAGUUCACAAUGCCUGGAGCGGUUUGUGAAUCAAGGUAGGAUGGGUCUGCGGCGUAUCAGGUUGUAGGGGGUGUAACGGACCCCCUAGCCAUCGACGCGUACGGGUGUUGGGAGACAUA
rnacentral:rRNA from 1 species